rnacentral:lncRNA from 10 species
GAAGAGAGGACACAUACAGACACACAGGGGAGGGAGCCAUCUGAUGACAGAGGCAGAGACUGGAGUGAUACAGCUAUAAGCUAAGGAACACUAAGAAUUGCCAGCAACCUGGGAAAAGGUGAAGAAAGAUUCCCUUCUAGAGCCUUCAGAGGGAGGACAGCCUUGCUGAUACCUUGAUUUCAGACUGUGGGAUCCCCCAAGUAAAACUGUAUUAAGUUCUAGUGCACACCAUCAUGCUGCAGAAUCAGGUUAGUGCUGAGCGACGGUGAGACCCUGUCUUAAAAAAACUGAGAGAGAGAGGACACAUACAGACACACAGGGGAGGAGGCCACCUGUGUGUCUGUGACAGAUGCAGAGACUGGAGUGAUGCAGCUGCAAGCUGAGGAAUACCAAGGAUUACCAGCAACCUGGGAAGAGGCAAGGAAUAAUUUGAAUUUGCUACUCCUCGACAAUUAAUUUGCUACUCCUGGUCCCAUCAGCUGUGGCUGGAGGGAUAGCAGCAGGGACAUGAUGAAACAGUGUCUGUAGU